UACGUAGGGUGCGAGCGUUAAUCGGAAUUACUGGGCGUAAAGCGUGCGUAGGCGGUUCGUUAUGUCUGCUGUGAAAGCCCCGGGCUUAACCUGGGAAUGGCAGUGGAAACUGGCGGGCUUGAGUGUGGCAGAGGGGGGUGGAAUUCCGCGUGUAGCAGUGAAAUGCGUAGAGAUGCGGAGGAACACCGAUGGCGAAGGCAGCCCCCUGGGCUGACACUGACGCUGGAGGCACGAAAGCGUGGGGAGCAAACAGG
rnacentral:rRNA from 1 species